CUACGGGGGGCAGCAGUGGGGAAUAUUGCACAAUGGGCGCAAGCCUGAUGCAGCCAUGCCGCGUGUCUGAAGAAGGCCUUCGGGUUGUAAAGUACUUUCAGCGGGGAGGAAGGGAGUAAAGUUAAUACCUUUGCUCAUUGACGUUACCCGCAGAAGAAGCACCGGCUAACUCCGUGCCAGCAGCCGCGGUAAUACGGAGGGUGCAAGCGUUAAUCGGAAUUACUGGGCGUAAAGCGCACGCAGGCGGUUUGUUAAGUCAGAUGUGAAAUCCCCGGGCUCAACCUGGGAACUGCAUCUGAUACUGGCAAGCUUGAGUCUCGUAGAGGGGGGUAGAAUUCCAGGUGUAGCGGUGAAAUGCGUAGAGAUCUGGGGGAAUACCGGUGGCGAAGGCGGCCCCCUGGACGAAGACUGACGCUCAGGUGCGAAAGCGUGGGGAGCAAACAGGAUUAGAUACCCCUGUAGUC
rnacentral:rRNA from 1 species